GUGUCAGCAGCCGCGGUAAUACGUAGGGGGCCAGCGUUGCUCGGAAUUACUGGGCGUAAAGGGUUCGUAGGCGGUGUGGCAAGUCGGAAGUGAAACCUCCAGGCUUAACUUGGAGACUGCUCCCGAAACUGCCAUGCUAGAGUGCGGGAGAGGCCAGUGGAAUUGCAGGUGUAGCGGUGAAAUGCGUAGAUAUCUGCAGGAACACCCGUGGCGAAGGCGGCUGGCUGGACCGCAACUGACGCUGAGGAACGAAAGCUAGGGGAGCAAACAGGAUUAGAUACCCCGGUAGUCC
rnacentral:rRNA from 1 species